AGUGAACGCUGGCGGUAGGCCUAACACAUGCCAGUCGAACGGCAGCACAGUAAGAGCUUGCUCUUACGGGUGGCGAGUGGCGGACGGGUGAGGAAUACAUCGGAAUCUACUUUUUCGUGGGGGAUAACGUAGGGAAACUUACGCUAAUACCGCAUACGACCUACGGGUGAAAGCAGGGGAUCUUCGGACCUUGCGCGAUUGAAUGAGCCGAUGUCGGAUUAGCUAGUUGGCGGGGUAAAGGCCCACCAAGGCGACGAUCCGUAGCUGGUCUGAGAGGAUGAUCAGCCACACUGGAACUGAGAAACGGUCCAGACUCCUAGGGGAGGCAGCAGUGGGGAAUAUUGGAAAAUGGGCGAAAGCCUGAUCAAGCCAUACCGGGUGGGUGAAGAAGGCCUUCGGGUGGUAAAGCCCUUUUGUUGGGAAAGAAAAGCAGCAGGUUAAUACCCCGCUGUUCUGACGGUACCAAAAGAAUAAGCACCGGCAAACUUCGU
rnacentral:rRNA from 1 species